rnacentral:rRNA from 1 species
GUUUGAACUGAAGAGUUUGAUCAUGGCUCAGAUUGAACGCUGGCGGCAGGCCUAACACAUGCAAGUCGAGCGGAUGAAGAGAGCUUGCUCUCUGAUUCAGCGGCGGACGGGUGAGUAAUGCCUAGGAAUCUGCCUGGUAGUGGGGGACAACGUUUCGAAAGGAACGCUAAUACCGC